CCCGUAGCAAUACGGGCAACCGGCGAACGAGUGCGUAACACGUGAGCAACCUACCGAACUGUGGGGGAUAGCCGGCCUAACGGCCGAGUAAUACCGCAUACGCUUUCAGUGAGGCAUUUCAUUGAAAGGAAACCUACGGGACAGAUCGAGGGGCUCGCGGCCUAUCAGCUAGUUGGCGAGGUAACGGCUCACCAAGGCGACGACGGGUAGCUGGUCUGAGAGGAUGGCCAGCCACAUUGGGACUGAGAUACGGCCCAGACUCCUACGGGAGGCAGCAGUGGGGAAUCUUGCGCAAUGGCCUAACGGCUGACGCAGCGACGCCGCGUGUGGGAUGAAGCUCUUCGGAGUGUAAACCACUGUUGCCCGGGACGAAUAGCUCGAUUAAUCGAGCCUGACGGUACCGGGUGAGGAAGCACCGGCUAACUCCGUGCCAGCAGCCGCGGUAAUACGGGGGGUGCGAGCGUUGUCCGGAAUCACUGGGCGUAAAGGGCGCGUAGGUGGUUUGAUAAGGGUGUGGUGAAAGUCCGGGGCUCAACCCCGGAUCUGCCGUGCCGACUGUCAAACUCGAGGGCUGUAGAGGCAGACGGAAUUCCGGGUGUAGCGGUGGAAUGCGUAGAGAUCCGGAGGAAGACCGGUGGCGAAGGCGGUCUGCUGGGCAGUUUCUGACACUGAUGCGCGACAGCGUGGGGAGCAAACAGGAUUAGAUACCCUGGUAGUCCACGCCGUAAACGAUGGGUACUAGGUGCCUGGGGGAGCGACCCUCUGGGUGCCGGCGCUAACGCAGGAAGUACCCCGCCUGGGGAGUACGACCGCAAGGUUGAAACUCAAAGGAAUUGAC
rnacentral:rRNA from 1 species